AACGAACGCUGGCGGCAUGCCUAACACAUGCAAGUCGAACGAAGGCUUCGGCCUUAGUGGCGCACGGGUGCGUAACGCGUGGGAAUCUGCCCUUGGGUUCGGAAUAACUCAGAGAAAUUUGAGCUAAUACCGGAUGAUGACGUAAGUCCAAAGAUUUAUCGCUGAUGGAUGAGCCCGCGUUAGAUUAGGUAGUUGGUAGGGUAAUGGCCUACCAAGCCGACGAUCUAUAGCUGGUCUGAGAGGAUGAUCAGCCACACUGGGACUGAGACACGGCCCAGACUCCUACGGGAGGCAGCAGUGGGGAAUAUUGGACAAUGGGCGAAAGCCUGAUCCAGCAAUACCGCGUGAGUGAUGAAGGCCUUAGGGUUGUAAAGCUCUUUUAGUUAGGGAAGAUAAUGACGGUA
rnacentral:rRNA from 1 species